rnacentral:rRNA from 1 species
UACGUAGGGUGCAAGCGUUAAUCGGAAUUACUGGGCGUAAAGCGUGCGCAGGCGGCUUCUCAAGUCAGGGGUGAAAGCCCAGAGCUCAACUCUGGAACUGCCUUUGAGACUGAGUGGCUUGAGUACGAGAGAGGUGAGUGGAAUUCCCAGUGUAGAGGUGAAAUUCGUAGAUAUUGGGAAGAACACCGGUGGCGAAGGCGGCUCACUGGCUCGUAACUGACGCUCAUGCACGACAGCGUGGGGAUCAAACAGG